rnacentral:miRNA from 1 species
GCUUAGAUGUGACAUCCUUAAAA